CGCCUGUUUAUCAAAAACAUGUCUUUUUGAUUAAAUAAAAAGUGUAGCCUGCCCGGUGAAUUUUUAACGGCCGCAGUAUACUGACUGAGCAAAGGUAGCAUAAUCUAUUGUCUUUUAAUUAAAGGCUUGUAUGAAUGGUUGAAUGAGAUAUUAACUAUUUUUAUUUUAAUAAAAAUGAAUUUUAAUUUUUAGUAAAAAUGCUAAAAUAAAAGAAUUAGACGAGAAGACCCUAUAAAUGUUAAUUUUAUUUUUUAUAAUAUUAAUUUUGAAAAUUUUUAAUAGAUUAUAAAAAUAGAAUUUUAUUGGGAGGAUAAUGAAAUUUAAUAAACUGUUAUUUUUUUUUAUAAAUAUAAUUAAAUUAUUGAAUAUAUAAUUAUAAAAUAUUUAAAAAAUUAAGUUACUUUAGGGAUCACAGCGUAAUUAUUUUAAAGAGUUCUUAUCGAUAAAAUAGUUUGCGACCUCGAUGUUGAAUUAAGAAUUAAUUUACGUGUAAAAGUUCAAAUUUUAAGUCUGUUCUACUUUUGAAUUCUUACAUGAUCUGAGUUCAUACCGG
rnacentral:rRNA from 1 species